rnacentral:rRNA from 1 species
AGAGUUUGAUCAUGGCUCAGAUUGAACGCUGGCGGCAGGCCUAACACAUGCAAGUCGAGCGGUAGCACAGAGAGCUUGCUCUCGGGUGACGAGCGGCGGACGGGUGAGUAAUGUCUGGGAAACUGCCUGAUGGAGGGGGAUAACUACUGGAAACGGUAGCUAAUACCGCAUAACGUCGCAAGACCAAAGUGGGGGACCUUCGGGCCUCAUGCCAUCAGAUGUGCCCAGAUGGGAUUAGCUAGUAGGUGGGGUAACGGCUCACCUAGGCGACGAUCCCUAGCUGGUCUGAGCGGAUGACCAGCCACACUGGAACUGAGACACGGUCCAGACUCCUACGGGAGGCAGCAGUGGGGAAUAUUGCACAAUGGGCGCAAGCCUGAUGCAGCCAUGCCGCGUGUGUGAAGAAGGCCUUCGGGUUGUAAAGCACUUUCAGCGGGGAGGAAGGCGUUAAGGUUAAUAACCUCAUCGAUUGACGUUACCCGCAGAAGAAGCACCGGCUAACUCCGUGCCAGCAGCCGCGGUAAUACGGAGGGUGCAAGCGUUAAUCGGAAUUACUGGGCGUAAAGCGCACGCAGGCGGUCUGUCAAGUCGGAUGUGAAAUCCCCGGGCUCAACCUGGGAACUGCAUUCGAAACUGGCAGGCUAGAGUCUUGUAGAGGGGGGUAGAAUUCCAGGUGUAGCGGUGAAAUGCGUAGAGAUCUGGAGGAAUACCGGUGGCGAAGGCGGCCCCCUGGACAAAGACUGACGCUCAGGUGCGAAAGCGUGGGGAGCAAACAGGAUUAGAUACCCUGGUAGUCCACGCCGUAAACGAUGUCGAUUUGGAGGUUGUGCCCUUGAGGCGUGGCUUCCGGAGCUAACGCGUUAAAUCGACCGCCUGGGGAGUACGGCCGCAAGGUUAAAACUCAAAUGAAUUGACGGGGGCCCGCACAAGCGGUGGAGCAUGUGGUUUAAUUCGAUGCAACGCGAAGAACCUUACCUGGUCUUGACAUCCACAGAACUUAGCAGAGAUGCUUUGGUGCCUUCGGGAACUGUGAGACAGGUGCUGCAUGGCUGUCGUCAGCUCGUGUUGUGAAAUGUUGGGUUAAGUCCCGCAACGAGCGCAACCCUUAUCCUUUGUUGCCAGCGGUCCGGCCGGGAACUCAAAGGAGACUGCCAGUGAUAAACUGGAGGAAGGUGGGGAUGACGUCAAGUCAUCAUGGCCCUUACGACCAGGGCUACACACGUGCUACAAUGGCAUAUACAAAGAGAAGCGACCUCGCGAGAGCAAGCGGACCUCAUAAAGUAUGUCGUAGUCCGGAUUGGAGUCUGCAACUCGACUCCAUGAAGUCGGAAUCGCUAGUAAUCGUAGAUCAGAAUGCUACGGUGAAUACGUUCCCGGGCCUUGUACACACCGCCCGUCACACCAUGGGAGUGGGUUGCAAAAGAAGUAGGUAGCUUAACCUUCGGGAGGGCGCUUACCACUUUGUGAUUCAUGACUGGGGUGAAGUCGUAACAAGGUAACCGUAGGGGAACCUGCGGUUGGAUCACCU